AUGAAAUAUGCUAUGUCUCUGGUGACAUCCCCAAGUUGCAAUUUAGGAAAGAGGCAUCGAAGGCACAGUGGAUCGAAGAGCUGAACAUGGCUGAAGUGCUGGAGAAAAAGGGUAAAAUGUGGACCACGACUGGGAUGGUUCGUGAUGGAAAGACAUAUUGCUCACUCGAAGAAACUUUGUAUUUGGCUGAAAUUGGGGCAUUGGAUAUCGUUAACAGUGACGAUACACCUCUUCCCCUAAGCGACAUGUAUGCAAAGUUAGCAGAAGACAAGAAUAGACAUGGAUGCUCUUGGGAUUCUUUUGAAGUUUAUCGGCACUUGAAGUUUCUUGGUUACAUUGUUGGCCGCCAUGGCGUCCCUUGGUCUAUGAAGAAUGGUAAAAUCAAGAUCGACGCUCAAGAUGGAAUGACAGAGUUUCGUGGUAUUAGAGAUAGGGGAUCGUUAGACAACAGCUUCAUCACAGAGAUGUUUGGUAACAUGCAUCUUGGUGAAACCAGACCAAUGUUUGAUGUUUAUCCUCCUAAUAGCAAGUUUAAAAAGUCUUCUCCAGGAAAUUUGGCCUUUGUUCUCUGCCGUACCAGUGGCUACCCACCGUCGGAGAAAGAGAUUAAGGAGAUUGAGACACAUUGCAGUGGACGUCCUAUAAAAUUCUGUACUGUCGAGCAUGGGCGUGUCAGCUUCUUGUCAUUCACCAAAAUGGAGCUUCCGGUUCUUCCGUGACCUUUUUGCUUGAAAUGAUAUUAUGUAUGUUUGCCUCAGUUGGUGAAUACAACAAUACUUGUGAUGGUUCGUGAAUUUUCAUUGUUUCCAGGGUUGUGUUUGGUAGAUGGACCUGCAAAAGAAAGAAAAUCGGACUUAUCGUCUUGGUUAGCACUUGGCACUCCGACGAUCAAGUGAGUAUCUUAUCGACGGAAAAUAUAUUGUAUGUGGUUACCUAGUUUUUUUAUUUAUAUUCCCUCCGUUCCAAAAUAAUUGUCAUUUUAGGAUG